UACAGAGGUCUCAAGCGUUGUUCGGAUUCAUUGGGCGUAAAGGGUGCGUAGGCGGCGCGGUAAGUCGGGUGUGAAAUCUCGGGAGCUUAACUCCGAAACUGCAUUCGAUACUGCCGUGCUUGAGGACUGGAGAGGAGACUGGAAUUUACGGUGUAGCGGUGAAAUGCGUAGAUAUCGUAAGGAAGACCAGUGGCGAAGGCGGGUCUCGUGGACAGUUCCUGACGCUGAGGCACGAAGGCCAGGGGAGCAAAACGGGG
rnacentral:rRNA from 1 species